AUUGCAGAUUGUGUAAUAGAAGAGAAAUCGUGCGUAAAAACAAUAUCAUCCUACUAAGGCACAAGCUAUUUUAUGGGAUUGUAGAGUCCCACUUUAAGUUAUUAUAUGAACUUUGGGAACGUGUAUUGGUAAGCUGGCAAUAACACAAAUUAGUAUUGAUGAAUACUUACCAAUAGAUAAAUAUUGAUAACUCAAAGAGAAUCUUUUUUUAUUCUCACUUUCAGCGAGCAUGUGAUGGCGGAAGUGUCGUGCAUCCAUUCUUCAUCUUAAAAGCGAUUAAUAUUUUUAGCUCCUCGAGACACCAAAGCGAGCAGGGAGGAUGAACAACACCAAAUAUCCUGCAAGCAGCUGGCGCAUAUGGCUGAUACUUUUUUGUUGUUCCCUAAAUAGUAGGUUUGGUUUGGAUCCGCCUCGUGCUCGUAUGUCCCAUGUGCAUCUGUAGCCUAUAUGCGAGACUGUAAGACUACUUUUUAGUUAUUGUAUAGUUUAAGAUAACAUAAAUCGCACCACAACUGUUUUAUAAAGAGAAUACAUAUGUCAUGCUUUGUAAGUUCCAGUUCAUUCAUUUUUUAAGAUUUUGAUCACAACAUGCACUGUAAACAUUUAAUGAGUUUUGCUCCUGUUCACAGCACCUUAUGUAUCAUCCUGGUCCGUGUCCCAGUCGCCUGACUUUGCCGAGGUGAUGGUGGGUAACCCCAUUACACUGAAAUGCCACAACACGGGCUUCACGUUACCUUCCAAUUCCUGCGAGUCCACCAUUUGGACGAGAGUACACCCUAGGACCGGGGAAUUGCUUGAUGUCGAUCUCUCAGAUAAAAUAUUUAGGACGAACGAAAUGACAAAAUCAUGUGAUUUAACAGUUAUAGGCCAGAGCCAGGAAUAUUCUGGUGUGUACUAUUGUUGGAUUAAAAUGACAAGUAUUGGAAUAUUUGGUAAUGGAUCAAGAGUGUUAUUCACAGAAAAUGUUACUGCUUCUAUGGAACUUUUUUCGCCGUCGGACAACAAC
rnacentral:lncRNA from 1 species